CCUACGGGAGGCAGCAGUGGGGAAUUUUGGACAAUGGGGGCAACCCUGAUCCAGCAAUGCCGCGUGAGUGAAGAAGGCCUUCGGGUUGUAAAGCUCUUUUGUCAGGGAAGAAACGGCGGGGACUAAUACUUCCUGCUAAUGACGGUACCUGAAGAAUAAGCACCGGCUAACUACGUGCCAGCAGCCGCGGUAAUACGUAGGGUGCAAGCGUUAAUCGGAAUUACUGGGCGUAAAGCGUGCGCAGGCGGUUGUGCAAGACCGAUGUGAAAUCCCCGGGCUUAACCUGGGAAUGGCAUUGGUGACUGCACGGCUAGAGUGUGUCAGAGGGGGGUAGAAUUCCACGUGUAGCAGUGAAAUGCGUAGAGAUGUGGAGGAAUACCGAUGGCGAAGGCAGCCCCCUGGGAUAACACUGACGCUCAUGCACGAAAGCGUGGGGAGCAAACAGGAUUAGAUACCCUGGUAGUCCACGCCCUAAACGAUGUCUACUAGUUGUCGGGUCUUAAUUGACUUGGUAACGCAGCUAACGCGUGAAGUAGACCGCCUGGGGAGUACGGUCGCAAGNUUAAAACNCGAAAGAGACGCNGAGACGNGCGACGACGACGACGAGGAGGAGG
rnacentral:rRNA from 1 species